UGUUAAAACACCGGUUCUCAUAAUAUCACCGAAGUUAAUCAACGUUGAGCCUGGUCAAUACCUAGAUGGGUGACCGAUCAGGAAUAUCAGGUGCUGUAAG